UGCGCCUGCGUGCGGGGAGACACCGUCUGCGGGCGGGAAGCCACACGGAGAACCCGGAUGGAACCUCGGCGCGGCUGGGGUGGAGGUCGCCGCGGACGCAUCUGUGUCCCCGCGCCCUGCAGGUUCCUGCUCGGGGACCGGACCUGAGGAGCCGCCGCCCUGACUUGUUCCGGCGCUUAGUGGCUGGACCCUAGCCCGAGCGGAGAGCGACCUGGAGUCGGAGACGGGCCACUGAAAGAAGCCCGAGCAUCCCUUGGGCCUGCGCCCUGGCUCGGAGACGGGCGGGUGGAGACCGAGCGGAGUCCUUCCUCGCAGCCGGCGCCCGUAGCUCGCCCGAGCUGCUUCCCAAACGCGCCGUCUUUAAUUAUACACCAACAGGUCCUACCAGUUACGAGCUGCAUGUUCUUUACGUGCAUGCUUCAUAAUUAAAGCUCCCAACAACCCUCUAAGGCUCCACACCCAGCAUGGAGCCCAACGUGGGGCUCAAGCUCAUGACCCUGAGAUCAAGACCUGAGCUGAGAUCAAGAGUCGGAUGCUUAACCGACUGAGCCACCCAGCAAAAUUCUGCAGCAUCUCUGGAAUACUACCUGAGAAUUUCGGGGUGCCAUGUCGAAGAAACGCAAAUGGGAUGAUGACUAUGUUCGUUACUGGUUCACCUGUACAACAGAGGUUGAUGGAACUCAGCGCCCACAAUGUGUAUUGUGUAACUCGAUAUUUUCAAAUGCUGACCUCAGACCAUCAAAAUUGUCUGACCAUUUUAACAGACAGCAUGGUGGUGUAGGUGGGCAUGAUCUCAAUAGCCUGAAGCAUAUGCCAACACCAUCUGAUCAGAGUGAAACCUUGAAAACAUUUGGAGUUACAUCUCACGAGGAUGCCUUAUUACAAGCAUCAUAUCAGUUUGCAUAUUUAUGUGCCAAGGAGAAGAAUCCCCAUACAAUAGCUGAAAAAUUAGUAAAACCUUGUGCAUUGGAAAUAGCACAAAUAGUUUUGGGACCAGAUGCACAAAAGAAGCUUCAGCAGGUACCCUUAUCAGAUGAUGUGAUCCAUUCUAGAAUUGAUGAAAUGAGCCAGGAUAUCUUACAGCAAGUUCUAGAGGACAUCAAAGCCAGUCCUCUGAAAGUGGGUAUUCAGCUUGCUGAGACAACGGACAUGGGUGACUGCAGUCAGCUAAUGGCAUUUGUACGAUACAUAAAAGAAAGAGAGAUCAUAGAAGAAUUUCUAUUCUGUGAACCAUUGCAGUUAACAAUGAAAGGAAAAGAUGUGUUCAAUCUCUUCAGAGACUUCUUUUUGAAGCAUAAGAUAGCACUUGAUGUAUGUGGCUCUGUUUGUACUGACGGUGCCUCUUCUAUGCUGGCAGAAAAUUCAGAAUUUAUUGCUUGUGUGAAAAAAGAGGCACCUCACAUCGUGAUCACGCAUUGUUUGUUGAAUCCUCAUGACCUUGUCACAAAGACCUUGCCUACAAAACUGAGAGAUGCUCUGUUUACUGUGGUGAGGGUAAUAAAUUUCAUUAAAGGACGCGCUCCAAAUCAUCGCCUCUUUCAGGCUUUUUUUGAAGAAAUUGGAAUCGAGUAUAGUGUCCUCCUUUUCCAUACUGAAAUGAGGUGGCUUUCCCGAGGUCAAAUACUUACCCAUAUUUUUGAAAUGUAUGAAGAAAUAAAUCAGUUUCUUCACCACCAAAGCAGUAACUUAGUUGAUGGCUUUGAAAAUAAAGAGUUUAAAGUUCACUUAGCAUACCUUGCAGAUUUAUUCAAACACCUGAAUGAACUUAGUGCAUCUAUGCAAAGGACUGGGAUGAACACAGUAUCAGCUAGAGAAAAGUUAUCUGCUUUUGUUAGGAAGUUUCCAUUUUGGCUAAAGCGAAUUGAGAAAAGAAAUUUUACCAACUUUCCUUUUCUUGAAGAAAUCAUUGUUUCAGAUAAUGAAGCAGCAAGCAUUGCAGCUGAAAUAACACUGCACCUGCAACAGCUGAGCAACUUCUUCCAUGGAUAUUUUUCUGUUGGAGAUCUUGCUGAGGCAAGUAAAUGGAUACUGGAUCCGUUUCUUUUUAAUCUGGAUUUUGUCGAUGAUGGUUAUUUGAUGAAAACUGAUCUUGCUGAAUUACGAGCUAGUGGCCAAAUCCUAAUGGAAUUUGAGACAAUGAAGCUUGAGGAUUUCUGGUGUGCUCAAUUCACAGUGUUUCCAAGCCUGGCAAAGACAGCUCUAGAAAUCCUUAUACCAUUUGCAACUACAUACCUUUGUGAGUUGGGAUUUUCAUCACUUUUACAUUUUAAAACAAAGUCCAGAAGCUGCUUUAAUAUGAGUGAUGACAUUCGUGUGGCUAUUUCAAAAAAAGUUCCUCGUUUCUCAGACAUCAUUGAACAAAAGCUACAGCUACAGCAGAAGUCACUGUGAGCUGAUACAUUUUUAAUGUAUAAUUUUUAAUAUAUUCUUAAUUUCAUUGUAAAAUUAAGCUAUAAUUGUGUCUCUUUUAUAUUUAUGGCAUACCAAAUCCCAAGAAAAAGUUUAGCAUGUGUAACUUUUAAUUUUCACAGUUUUGAGAGUAAGAACACAGGCAGCAGAAAAGAUUAAAUACCACCUAGUGGAUACAUAGAAUUCUUCUAAGUAUCUGUUGAAGCUGUUGAUGUGAUACGUAAAAAGACACACAAGCACUAGAAUAUCCACCUAAGUGGUACAAUAGGCUAGGAAUGGAUCCCGGAGAAGAGAGAAGAUCUCCCAGAACAUGCAUCUUCAUGUUAAAAGUAAAAGUUGAAGGACAAAAUGAUAGACUGAGUCCCCGCGUCUCUGUGAGUGUUGUCAAUGGGGAGGCUAAUGGGAUCAGAAAAGGAUUAUGAAAUGUUAUAGUUGGAAAAGGGAUGAUUCUAGUUUAUAUAAGAUUUACUUUUAAAUGUAUUCUUUGGAGUUAGUCUUACAAUGUCCAUUCCUCUAGCUCCCAUGCUCUAAAUGCCAUGACAUUAAUAAAUGUCCUAAUAUCCUAUUAGUCACUCUUUGUCUUUUUUUAAAUUACAGCAGGACUCCAAGUCAUUGAGGCUGCUAAAAAGAGGAUCUGAGAGCCUCACCAUAGAGAUUCUGAUUUAGCAGAUCUGGCAUAAGCUCAAGGGCCUUCAUUCUUUUUUUUUUUUUUUUAAAGAUUUUAUGUAUUUAUUUGACAGAGAGACAGUGAGAGAGGGAACACAAGCAAGGGGAGUGGGAGAGGGAGAAGCAGGCUUCCUGCUGAGCAGGGAGCCUGAGGUGGGGAUCAUGACCUGAGCCGAAGGCAGACGCUUAACGACUGAGCCACCUAGGCACCCCAAGGGCCUUCAUUCUUAACCAGUUUCCAGAUAGUUCUGAUGGAUUCUUUGGGCCUCCGGUCUCAUCUUAUUUUCCCUUUACCCCAAUUUUCCCACUUAUUUACAUCUUAAGCUCUGUGUAUUUACCUAACAUAGUUCAAAACUUUUGAAUGGACCAGAAUAUAAAUAAUAAAUAAAUUGAUGUGAAGUCACUGUGGUAAAUCAGGGCCAUCAAAAAAUUUCCUGUGGGAAUUUAAAUUUUCAUACGUUUUCUGGAUAAUAAUUUGGUAAAAUAUAGUUUUAAAUUUUAAUAAA